UCAAAAAUUCAGUGGUGGUUUGAAGUUGUUCAAACAGCAGUUCCUUCUUUAAAAGGGGAAUCUUUCCUCCAGUCACAUCAGUGGUGCAAGCAUGAAUGAUAAGGCACUUUGGGAGGUUGCAUGAUUUGUGAGACAAUGUUGACGUUGCAAGUCGCA